ensembl:lncRNA
UGCAUGUUUAAAUAAUUGAUAUUUGUUUGUAUAUGCACAGGUGUAUUCUUUAAAAAAAAAUAAAAAAAAAUGCAAAGCCACUUUUUCAUUUUAAAGGAGAGCCAAACCUCAACUUUAUCAUUUUAUAUAUCAUGUAAUUAAUUAAGAUAUUGGAUAAAUGAUGGACAUACCACAAUUGAGAAAAGCAGUGGUUUAACUUUAUUUUUUAGAGAAAAACUAUUUAAUAACAGAAAUGAACAUUGCGUAAUAGGAAUGAAAUCUGAGCAACAGGAAUGUGUGUGUGUGUGUGUGUGUCCGUGUGUGUGUGUGUGUCCGUGAGUGUGCAUAGCUUGUGUGUGUGAGAGACCGAUUUCUGAAGAUAUGUGCCAUGUGCCCUAGGCUUCUGGGUUCUCUCCAUCUUCAUCUACAAAACAAAAAAUGUUCAGUUGCAGAAACUACAUCCAAUAGUGUUUUAGCUAGAAUUGCACUCAAUACAUGAAAACAAACUUCCCUGACCCUUUCUAAAAAGCCUUCUCUAGUUUGGCCUAGCCUUCUCUCUCACUUUUCAUGUGACGACCUGUGACUGGCCUUGGUAGUGUGAUGAUACACACAAUGUCCUCAAACAAGGACCAAAGAAUAUCUUUGCGGGCUGGCCAGACAAACCUGUUGACCCCAAUCUUUUGCAUACAACGGACUUCAACAUGUGUUUCACUUGUAUCUGUGAUGACACCAGGGUACAGAUUACCAUCGUACUUCAGCACACUCCAUUUGCCAACAACUUCACGACAUUACCAACAACGUCUGUCACUAUGGGAGCCAUGGGAGCUGUCUGCUGGUUGCUGAACUUGAAAUGCUUUGCAUUAAAGCACCCACAGUUCAGAGUUUGUGUUGUUGUGCACAAGCAGCUGACGUCCCUGUAUGUCAGUUCUCCAUGGGCUAGGGACACUACCUAAUGGAUCCUCAUAAUGGACGGAACUGGUGGCUCAUCAUUGGGCAUCUCUGAAACUGCUUUAUCAACUGCUUCCUCGCUGACAAUAAACAACUUGAUUUUUGUGUCUGUCUCUUGCAACACAGCAAACAGGUCUUCAGCAUCAGGAAUGUCUCUUCCUUGGCUGACUAGACUGUCAGCCCUCCUCUUCAGGGCCCCUCCAACACCAUCCCGGGGCACCCUUCCCGUGGCUCGCCUCAAAAAAGUUCCACGUCCCUGCAGUGAAUCCUCGCCUGAGCAGCUCAGUACAACUCAAGAAAAAAUUAGCACUGGUGACAAGUGUUGCCAGAUUGCUGGUGGGCCCUUUUUUCUUGAGAGUGACAGUGCAGAAGCACAUCAAUUGAGGGGUUGCAUACACAUAAAGCACACACGUGUGCAGUGUUGCCUGCUGAUGUGAUGCUCCGGAGUGGACUGACUGUAUUUCUGUGCUGUACUUGCAGAGGUAGUUUUCAGAAAAGUCAACAUAAAUUAAGCAUUCAUGUGCUUUUAAGCUUUGUCUCAAUGCCCUGUAGUGGAUAAACUGAUUGUUGAUGUUAAAAGUGUGUCUCUUAAACCUAUGCAGCAGCAGGUUUAGCUGUUCCAGCAAUUCUUCUAGAGUGGUGUGGAACUCUUUUUUUUUAAUUGUGAUUUUAGAGGUUUUGCCAAUGGGGUCAUGCUGCUUAUCCACAACUACCCACUGAAUAUAAGACACUUUAUUCUCUGGAUUGUACUCUGUAGAGACUGGGCAAGAACGGUCCUUGCACUCCGAACAUUCUCCAUACAUACACUUCAUAUUUUCUGUGUCACAUGAUAUCUCUUUCAAAAGGUCAUCCAGAUUGAUGGUACUGAUUACUAUGAAGUAGUGUAGCUUUUACACAAGAAAACCCAGAUUCUCAAGCAUCCUGCACAUGCACGUGUCCUGAUCACUCCGGGUCGGAUGAACAAUCCAAAAAGGUCUGAGCUUACAGAAGAGUGAGUAAGAGAUGGAGCUUUGUUCUUCAGCCAAAAACUUCCUGUGCAAAUUUUUCAUGGUAUCCAAAAGGAACCGUUUUUGCUUUUUGUUAUUCUUCUGAUUGCCUCUUCCCAGUUCUGAUGCGACUCACGUCAUCCAUUGAGUAAAAACCCCCACUCUGCGUAUCAGACCAUCUGCAACCCUGUUGUUCUGCUUCCUUUAGUAGGUGUAGUUAACCUUUAUAUUCUUCUCAUUUUUGCAUCUUUUAAUUGAAAAGCCCAAUGAAUUUUGAGCAAAGCAUUGCAUUUGUACUUUUCCUGUUAUCACUUUUGAAAUGAUUUGCUUUUCCCUCUCCCCCUCUGCAUUUUUGUAUUUGUUUCGGAUGCCCUCCACCAGAGCUUCAUGAAACAAAAGGGACUUCUGAGCGGCCACACUUGGAAGCUGUCUCAGCUGUUCGUUUACUUUUGUGCCUGGAGAUGCAUUUUUCUUUUUAAUGUGCUGGAGUUUUUUCUUGUACUUUUGUGCUUUUUUGGAUACUUUUUUCAACAGAACCUUUAGUUCUUUCUUGUUUUUCAGCUUCUUCUCUGCCCUUGAUUAUAUUGCCUAAAAACACAUGCAUCACAAUAAAUUACACACUGCAAUAGUCAGGAAAAUGUACUGUUAUGUUGAUAAAUUACCCUCUAUGACCUGAUUGCUAAAUUCAUAGUGUAAUGUAAUCAUGUCAAUUUUCAUUAAACCGAACCCCUCUAGCACAUUGUCUUUGGCACAUGAUCCAUUUAAUAAAGUAGACCUGGAAGUGCUUGGCUGUGGAUGCACAGCUUGCUCUGGUGAUAACUGGGGGCUGUAUGGCGGGGUGACAAGGUGUUGGAGGGCUUCUUUCCUGUCCCGGAUCCUAUGACCCAGUGUGUGACCAGGCCAUGGAACCAGCUCUGGUCCAACCAAUAGAGGUUCCUCGGGACCAGGUCAUGG